rnacentral:tRNA from 1 species
GGGAAUGUAGCUCAGUGGCACAGCAUCUGCCUGACAAGCACAAGUCUCUGAGUUCAAUUCCCAGUACCA